GGCCGGAGCGGCAGGGCGGGGAGGGGAGAGCGGAGUUCCUGGAAGGAGCCGCUCGGCGCCGCCGCUGCACAACAUGGCCUCCUCCGCCUCCUCGUCUGCGGCCGGCGCCGAGGGCACCCCUCCUGCGCAGGAGGAUAAAACCACAAGCUCGCAGAUAACUGCCUCAUUUCCAUUGCUUCUCUGACUGAGUGUGGGGAAGUACUGUCUGUAAGUAGGGCAGUCUGAGUGGAUUUGGGCAGCUGGG
rnacentral:lncRNA from 1 species